GACGAACGCUGGCGGCGUGCCUAAUACAUGCAAGUUGAGCGCUGAAGGUUGGUACUUGUACCAACUGGAUGAGCAGCGAACGGGUGAGUAACGCGUGGGGAAUCUGCCUUUGAGCGGGGGACAACAUUUGGAAACGAAUGCUAAUACCGCAUAAAAACUUUAAACACAAGUUUUAAGUUUGAAAGAUGCAAUUGCAUCACUCAAAGAUGAUCCCGCGUUGUAUUAGCUAGUUGGUGAGGUAAAGGCUCACCAAGGCGAUGAUACAUAGCCGACCUGAGAGGGUGAUCGGCCACAUUGGGACUGAGACACGGCCCAAGCUCCUAAGGGAGGCAGCAGUAGGGAAUCUUCGGCAAUGGAGGAAAGUCUGACCGAGCAACGCCGCGUGAGUGAAGAAGGGUUUCGGAUCGUAAAACUCUGUUGGUAGAGAAGAACGUUGGUGAGAGUGGAAAGCUCAUCAAGUGACGGUAACUACCCAGAAAGGGACGGCUAACUACGUG
rnacentral:rRNA from 1 species